rnacentral:rRNA from 1 species
GACAGAGGUGCCAAGCGUUAGGCGGAAUCACUGGGCUUAAAGCGUGUGUAGGUGGAUGCCUAAGUACCUUGUGAAAUCCCACGGCUCACCCGUGGAACUGCUUGGUAUACUGGGUGUCUUGAGCCACUUAGGGGUCGCUGGAACAAACGGUGGAGCGGUGAAAUGCGUAGAUAUCGCUUGGAACGCCGAAGGUGAAAACAGGCUGCUGGGGUUGUGCCGACGCUGAGACACGAAAGCCAGGGGAGCAAACGGG